CAGACUUGGGCUUGGUUGAUCAUCCAGGGUUCUCCCUGGUGCACUCUUCCAGCCCAGGCCAGCAUCAGUUUGAGUGGUUAGAUAAAGGCUUAGAGAAUGUGGCCCUCUUCGGGGGGUGUUAUAGCUCUAGGUGCAAUGUAGCCUACUUGGACUGAGGACCGCGCUUCGGCUAGGAUGCUGGCGUAAUGGUUGUAAGCGA
rnacentral:rRNA from 1 species